ACCCCCAUGCACGGCCUCCCAGCCCACUGUGAGUGCACAACAGCCCAGUGCAAGGCCCUCCCAGCCCCUUGUGAGUGUGCACAAGCCCUGUGCAAGACCCAACCCCACAGCCCCCACAAGCACCCUGUGAGUGCACACGACCCCCAUGCACGGCCUCCCAGCCCACUGUGAGUGCACAACAGCCCAGCCCCAGGGCACCCCCCCCCCAGCCCCUUGUGAGUGCACACGAGCCCCGUGCAAGCCCCCCCCCCCGACCCCACCUGCUGGCAGAACUCCUUGAUGCUGCGCCCUCCCUCCAGGAACUGCUCGAAGAAGCGGCGGUGGCGUUGGAGGCAGCCUGAGGUGAGCAGGCGGAGGUAAACCACCAGGUAGUCUGAGGUGCUGGGCUCGUUGAAGGCUGCCAGCAGCUCCGGCAGCGGCACGCCGCGCUCCACACGUUCAAUCAGCUCCAUGAACUGCAGGGGGGGGCCGCAAGGAGGGGUGUCAUGGGGUUAUGUAUGGGCUCAGGUAUAUGGCAGGGGGGUCCUGCAUGGGUUACGCACGCUGUCAUGGGGUCACACACAUCGUUAUGGGGUCAUAUGUAUCACUGUGGUGUCACACGUGUUACCGUGGGGUCAUAUAUGGGGUCACAUGUGUCACCAUGGGGUCACACGUGUCACCAUGGGGUCGUAUAUGGGGUUACAUAUGUCACUAUGGGGUCACAUGUGUCACCAUGGGGUCGUAUAUGGGGUUACACGUGUCACCAUGUGGCCACACGUGUCACCACAGGGUCAUAUAUGGGGUUACUUGGCUUGUUAUGGGGUCAUACGGGGCUUACACAUGUCGUUGUGGGGUCACAAGGGGGGGUCAUGGGGUUUUCUGGGUCUGCACGGGUUGACAUACGUGGCUGUGGGGUCCUGCAGGGAGCUAUGCGUGUGUUCAUGGGAUCCUGCAUGGGUUACACACCCACCGUUGUGGGGUCACACGCACGGUUAUGGGGUCAUACGUGGGAUCACGUGUGUUACACAGGCACAAACCACAGCGACACGAGGACACGCAGACGCUACGGGGACACGUAGGACACCCCCCGAGUGAGGCCACCCACCCCACAACCCCAGCGACCCCCUCCCCCGACGCCCCC
rnacentral:lncRNA from 1 species